GAUGAAGAACGUAGCGAAAUGCGAUAAGUAAUGUGAAUUGCAGAAUUCAGUGAAUCAUCGAAUCUUUGAACGCACCUUGCGCCCUUUGGCUAUUCCGAAGGGCAUGCCUGUUUGAGUAUCAUGAACACCUCAACUCUCAUGGGUUUGCCAUGAUGAGCUUGGACUUUGGGGGUCUUGCUGGCCUAUGGUCAGCUCCUCUCAAAUGGAUCAGCUUGCCAGUGUUUGGUGGCACCACAGGUGUGAUAACUAUCUACGCUUGUGGUUUUCCACCAGGUAACCUUCAGUGGAUGGAGGUUCGCUGGGGCUCAUAAACGUCUCUCCUCAGUGAGGACAGCUCUUUGAACGUUUGAUCUCAAAUCAGGUAAGACUACCCGCUGAACUUAAGCAUAUCAAUAAGCGGAGGA
rnacentral:misc_RNA from 1 species